GGCUUACGGUGGAUACCCAGGCACCUAGAGAUGAGGAAGGGUGUAGCAAGCGACAAAAUGCUUCGGGGAGUUGAAAAUAUAUACAGAUCCAGAGAUUCCCAAAUGGGUCAACCUUUCGAAUUGUUGCUGAAUCCAUAGGCAGGUAAGAGACAACCUAACGAACUGAAACAUCUUAGUAACCAGAGGAAAAGAAAGCAAUAGCGAUUCCCGUAGUAGCGGCGAGCGAUAUGGGAGCAGCCUAAACCGUGAAAACGGGGUUGUGGGAGAGCAAUACAAGUGUCGUAUUGCUAGGCGAAGCGAUUGAGUACUGCACCCUAGAUGGCGAGAGUCCAAUAGCCGAAAGCAUCACUGGCUUACGCUCUGACCCGAGUAGCAUGGGGAACGUGGAAUCCCAUGUGAAUCAAUAAGGACAACCUUGUAAGGCUAAAUACUCCUGGGUGACCGAUGGCGAAGCAAUACGUGAGGGAAAGGUGAAAAGAACCCCCAUCGGAGAGUGAAAUAGAACAUGAAACCGUGAGCU
rnacentral:ncRNA from 1 species